CUACAAUCAAUUCCAUAGGUAAGGUGGCC
rnacentral:piRNA from 1 species